rnacentral:rRNA from 1 species
UACGGAGGGGGCUAGCGUUGUUCGGAAUUACUGGGCGUAAAGCGCACGUAGGCGGACGCUUAAGUCAGGGGUGAAAUCCCGAGGCUCAACCCCGGAACUGCCUUUGAUACUGGGUGUCUGGAGGUCGAGAGAGGUGAGUGGAAUUCCGAGUGUAGAGGUGAAAUUCGUAGAUAUUCGGAGGAACACCAGUGGCGAAGGCGGCUCACUGGCUCGAUACUGACGCUGAGGUGCGAAAGCGUGGGGAGCAAACAGG